GGAUGGGUGGCCGAGUGGUCGAAGGCGCACGCCUGGAAAGUGUGUAUACCUCAAAAGGGUAUCGUGGGUUCGAAUCCCACCCCAUCCGCCA
rnacentral:tRNA from 5 species